rnacentral:rRNA from 1 species
AUGCACGCUGGCGGCGUGCCUAAUACCUGCCAGUCGAGCGUACGGACGAGAAGCUUGCUUCUCUGAUGUUAGCGGCGGACGGGUGAGUAACACGUGGAUAACCUACCUAUAAGACUGGGAUAACUUCGGGAAACCGGAGCUAAUACCGGAUGAUAUUUUGAACCGCAUGGUUCCAAAGUGAAAGACGGUCUUGCUGUCACUUAUAGAUGGAUCCGCGCUGCAUUAGCUAGUUGGUAAGGUAACGGCUUACCAAGGAAACGAUGCAUAGCCGACCUGAGAGGGUGAUCGGCCACACUGGAACUGAGACACGGUCCAGACUCCUACGGGAGGCAGCAGUAGGGAAUCUUCCGCAAUGGGCGAAAGCCUGACGGAGCAACGCCGCGUGAGUGAUGAAGGUCUUCGGAUCGUAAAACUCUGUUAUUAGGGAAGAACAUAUGUGUAAGUAACUGUGCACAUCUUGACGGUACCUAAUCAGAAAGCCACGGCUAACUACGUG